rnacentral:rRNA from 1 species
GUGCCAGCAGCCGCGGUAAUACGUAGGGUGCUAGCGUUGUUCGGAAUCAUUGGGCGUAAAGCGCGUGUAGGUGGCUUGCUAAGUCGAUUGUGAAAUCCCUAGGCUCAACCAAGGAAGUGCAUUCGAAACUAGCUCGCUCGAGGAUGGCAGAGGAAGGUGGAAUUCCAAGUGUAGAGGUGAAAUUCGUAGAUAUUUGGAGGAAUACCGGCGGCGAAGGCGGCCUUCUGGACCAUUCCUGACACUGAGACGCGAAAGCGUGGGGAGCAAACAGGAUUAGAUACCCUUGUAGUCC